CUGGUUCAAGAUCAGUGGAGAUAAACCAACACAGGUAGCAUCUGGACACAGUUACUCCCUCAAUGUGACUGUUGAUGGAGGACUGUACUUCUGUGAAGCAAGAAAUAGUCACGGCUGUGGGAAGUCAAAUGAAGUGCAGCUGGCUAUAAAAGGGCAAGAAGAGACUGUUAACACAAUGGCUUCUGGGGUUGCAGCAGGAACUCUGGGGGUCAUUUUGCUUAUCAGCCUGAUCAGUCUUUUUGUAUGGAGGAGAAACUCGAGGCUCCACGAUGGACUUGAAAGGACGGACAAUUCACAGGGACAGGUGGGAAUAAGGC